UACGAGUGCCCCAAGCGUUAUCCGGAAUCAUUGGGCGUAAAGGGUGUGUAGGCGGUUGUGUUAGUCUUUUGUUAAAUUCUUCGGCUUAACCGGGGGCAUGCGAAGGAAACGGCACAACUAGAGGAUGCGAGAGGUGAAUGGAACUCAUGGAGUAGGGGUGAAAUCCGUUGAUAUCAUGGGGAACACCAAAUGCGAAGGCAAUUCACUGGCGCACUCCUGACGCUGAGACACGAAAGCGUAGGUAGCGAAUGGG
rnacentral:rRNA from 1 species